ACAAUGAAGGGUUUGAUCCUGGCUCAGGAUGAACGCUAGCGGCAGGCUUAACACAUGCAAGUCGAGGGGUAACAGGGAGUAGCAAUACUCCGCUGACGACCGGCGCACGGGUGCGUAACGCGUAUGCAACCUACCUGUAACAGGGGAAUAACGGAGGGAAACUUCCACUAAUGCCCCAUAUUGUCAUGGAUUCGCAUGUUUCCAUGACGAAAGCUUCGGCGGUUACGGACGGGCAUGCGUGACAUUAGGUAGUUGGUGAGGCGACGGCUCACCAAGCCGACGAUGUCUAGGGGAGCUGAGAGGCUUAUCCCCCACACUGGUACUGAGACACGGACCAGA
rnacentral:rRNA from 1 species